rnacentral:tRNA from 1 species
GCCCUGGUGGCUUAAUGGUUAAGCGUUUGGCUGCUAACCAAAAGGUUGGCAUUUGAAUCCACCAGCU